rnacentral:rRNA from 1 species
GUGGGGGAUAUUGCACAAUGGGGGAAACCCUGAUGCAGCGACGCCGCGUGAGGGAAGACGGUCUUCUGGAUUGUAAACCUCUGUCUUCGGGGACGAUAAUGACGGUACCCGAGGAGGAAGCCACGGCUAACUACGUGCCAGCAGCCGCGGUAAUACGUAGGUGGCGAGCGUUGUCCGGAAUUACUGGGUGUAAAGGGAGCGUAGGCGGGAAGGCAAGUUGAAUGUUAAAUCUAUCGGCUCAACCGGUAGCUGCGUUCAAAACUGUUUUUCUUGAGUGAAGUAGAGGCAGGCGGAAUUCCUAGUGUAGCGGUGAAAUGCGUAGAUAUUAGGAGGAACACCAGUGGCGAAGGCGGCCUGCUGGGCUUUUACUGACGCUGAGGCUCGAAAGUGUGGGGAGCAAACAGG